GACGAACGCUGGCGGCGUGCUUAGCACAUGCAAGUCGAACGGAAAGGCCCUGCUUUUGUGGGGUGCUCGAGUGGCGAACGGGUGAGUAACACGUGAGUAACCUGCCCUUGACUUUGGGAUAACUUCAGGAAACUGGGGCUAAUACCGGAUAGGAGCUCCUGCUGCAUGGUGGGGGUUGGAAAGUUUCGGCGGUUGGGGAUGGACUCGCGGCUUAUCAGCUUGUUGGUGGGGUAGUGGCUUACCAAGGCUUUGACGGGUAGCCGGCCUGAGAGGGUGACCGGCCACAUUGGGACUGAGAUACGGACCAGACUCCUACGGGAGGCAGCAGUGGGGAAUAUUGCACAAUGGGCGGAAGCCUGAUGCAGCAACGCCGCGUGCGGGAUGACGGCCUUCGGGUUGUAAACCGCUUUCGCCUGUGACGAAGCGUGAGUGACGGUAAUGAGUAAAGAAGCACCGGCUAACUACGUG
rnacentral:rRNA from 1 species